UACGUAGGGUGCGAGCGUUGUCCGGAAUUAUUGGGCGUAAAGAGCUUGUAGGCGGUUUGUCGCGUCUGCUGUGAAAAUCCGGGGCUCAACCCCGGACUUGCAGUGGGUACGGGCAGACUAGAGUGUGGUAGGGGAGACUGGAAUUCCUGGUGUAGCGGUGGAAUGCGCAGAUAUCAGGAGGAACACCGAUGGCGAAGGCGGGUCUCUGGGCCGAUACUGACGCUGAGGAGCGAAAGCGUGGGGAGCGAACAGG
rnacentral:rRNA from 1 species